rnacentral:lncRNA from 1 species
GCCGGGCAGUGGUGGCGCACGCCUUUAAUCCCAGCACUUGGGAGGCAGAGGCAGGCGGAUUUCUGAGUUCGAGGCCAGCCUGGUCUACAGAGUAAGUUCCAGGACAGCCAGGGCUACACAGAGAAACCCUGUCUCAAAAAAACAAAAACAACAAAAAAAUCACCAACAAGUAGGCAUACCUCACAAAGCUAGUAAGGAGAGUAGAGCGGAACCGACCUUUUUUUCGAGACAGGGUUUCUCUGUGUAGCCCUGGCUGUCCUGGAACUCACUUUGUAGACCAGGCUGGCCUCAAACUCAGAA